GUGUAUYGAACUGCUGGCUCCCCAUCCGCUUCAGUCUAUCCCCAAGUGAAGCUUGUUCCUUGCGGGUGCGUAUGGUAUCCUGUGCUGCUUACCCAUGAAAUGGAAUUUGAUGGUUUUAUUCGGUUAUUCCGCCAUAUGCCUUUGGGUUGUGGGACGGACAUGCGGCGGGCUCUGUAUUCCCAGUGUAUCAAGCGUGUUGUCGCUUGGCYGCUGCGGUAUAUGGUGUCUUGGCCUGUUCUCUUGGAUAUGGAAAGCUAUGCGAGGGCGUGAGGUCUCGGCCUCGAUUCGUCCAAGCUUUGUCCCUUGACCCGAACGACUGCUAUGCUCGUCUUGAUCUUCCCGACCACGGCCUCGUAAUAGGGCCUACUGGACGAGGGUUGAUUAUGCGAGUGUUGGCAUCGAAGAGGAAUGC
rnacentral:misc_RNA from 1 species